rnacentral:rRNA from 1 species
ACUCAAAUGAAUUGACGGGGGCCCGCACAAGCGGUGGAGCAUGUGGUUCAAUUCGAAGCAACGCGCAGAACCUUACCAGCUUUUGACAUGUCCCGUAUGGGGAGCAGAGAUGCACCCCUUCAGUUCGGCUGGCGGGAACACAGGUGCUGCAUGGCUGUCGUCAGCUCGUGUCGUGAGAUGUUGGGUUAAGUCCCGCAACGAGCGCAACCCUCGCCCUUAGUUGCCAUCAUUCAGUUGGGCACUCUAAGGGGACUGCCGGUGAUAAGCCGCGAGGAAGGUGGGGAUGACGUCAAGUCCUCAUGGCCCUUACAGGCUGGGCUACACACGUGCUACAAUGGCGGUGACAAUGGGCAGCGAAGGGGCAACCUGGAGCUAAUCCCAAAAAGCCGUCUCAGUUCAGAUUGCACUCUGCAACUCGAGUGCAUGAAGGUGGAAUCGCUAGUAAUCGUAGAUCAGCAUGCUACGGUGAAUACGUUCCCGGGCCUUGUACACACCGCCCGU